CUGAACGCGAAUAAAUGUGAAACAAUCGAAGUUUCCGUUUACAACGAUAAGGAGCUAACAAGUGCUGUUAGCAUUUCUUACGCAUGCUCAGUUCAGCCCUGGACGGCUGCGUUUAAGGACACCACAACAAAUGAUACAUCCUCAGUGAUGAUGGCCUGUAACGCCCAGCUGACUGAGGGCUCUGCAGAGGGAGCAGCCGGAGUGAGAAGUCUGCCAGCAUGAUGUCUGACCAGUGUGCCAUUGAGUCCUGUGUGAUCGAACCUACGCUGAGGUGUCUCCUUCUCUUCUGCUGCUCCCUGUACUGGACUCCUGGACAAACCUACUUUUCUCUGAAUUUUAUAGAACCAUCCACGCGUUCUCUCUUCCUCCCUCAUCUUUUGCCAUUUUCUUUCAACUUAUAUUUAAUCAUAGAUUUCAUUUCUGUCUUGCUCAAGUGAACUGAGAUAUCAGUGUGAUUUGUCUCUGUAGCUUCCUUUGCACAUUUGUCUGCUAUGUCAUUUCCACAGGUUCCAGUGUGAGUCUACACCGUUCCCAUCAUUCGUAUCCUGUAUCUAUUGAAUCUCCAUUAAAACGUCUGAUCUGAAUUGUUCUGUUUCCAACCGAUUCAUUCUGAACUGGACUCAGAGCAUGUGAGGCUGAAAGAACUGCCAGAAUCUCUCCAGUAAACACUGAUACUC